AACGAACGCUGGCGGCGUGGUUGAUACAUUGCAAGUCGAACGGGAACGUUUCCUUCGGGAGACUAGUAUAGUGGCGGACGGGUGAGUAACACGUGAUCAACGUACCUGCAGGACCGGGAUAGCCAUUCGAAAGGAUGGGUAAUACCGGAUAUGACCACAGCACCUCCUGGUGCAGCGGUAAAAGUUUUUCGCCUGCAGAGCGGAUCGCGGCCUAUCAGCUUGUUGGUGAGGUAAUGGCUCACCAAGGCUACGACGGGUAACCGGCCUGAGAGGGUGGACGGUCACACUGGAACUGAGAUACGGUCCAGACUCCUACGGGAGGCAGCAGUGCUGAAUCAUUCACAAUGGGCGAAAGCCUGAUGAUGCGACGCCGCGUGGAGGAUGAAGGCCUUCGGGUUGUAAACUCCUGUCAGG
rnacentral:rRNA from 1 species